GGGAAGAUAAAGAUACAGGAUAUUCUAGCUUGCAGCUUCCUAGAUGAUUUGUUGGAGUUAAGGGAUGAAGAACUGUCUAAAGAAAGUCAAGAAACAAACUGGUUUUCUGCUCCUUCUGCAUUAAGAGUUUAUGGCCAGUACUUGAACCUUGAUAAGGAUCACAACGGCAUGCUCAGCAAAGAGGAACUGUCCCGCUAUGGAACAGGGACUCUCACCAACAUAUUCCUGGAUCGUGUCUUCCAAGAGUGCUUAACUUACGAUGGAGAAAUGGUAAUCACAUUUAUUUAUUCUGUUCUCAAUUUAAAAGCAUAUGCUUAUUGCUCUGGAAAAUG